UUUUUUAAAUAAACCACACAUAUAUCGACACGACAUUCUGGGUGCCUUUUAUUAGGUUGAGUGUUGGGAUAUACGGAGGCUUAAC
rnacentral:sRNA from 1 species